rnacentral:rRNA from 1 species
UACAGAGGGUGCAAGCGUUAAUCGGAAUUACUGGGCGUAAAGGGUGCGUAGGUGGCGGGGCAAGUCAGGUGUGAAAUCUCGGGGCUCAACCCCGAAACUGCAUUUGAUACUGCCUUGCUCGAGUACUGGAGAGGAGAUUGGAAUUUACGGUGUAGCAGUGAAAUGCGUAGAUAUCGUAAGGAAGACCAGUGGCGAAGGCGGGUCUCUGGACAGUUCCUGACACUGAGGCACGAAGGCCAGGGGAGCAAACGGG